GACGAACGCUGGCGGCGUGCCUAAUACAUGCAAGUAGAACGCUGAAGAGAGGAGCUCGCUCUUCUUGGGUGAGUGGCGAACGGGUGAGUAACGCGUAGGUAACCUGCCUUGUAGCGGGGGAUAACUAUUGGAAACGAUAGCUAAUACCGCAUAACAAUGGAUGACACAUGUAAUUUAUGUGAAAGGGGCAAUUGCUCCACCACAAGAUGGACCUGCGUUGUAUUAGCUAGUAGGUGAGGAAAGGGCCCACCUAGGCGGCGGUACAUAGCCGGACCGAGAGGGUGGACGGCCAACCUUGGACUGGAGCCCGGGCCCGGCCCCUACCGGGAGGCGCCGUAGGGGAUCUUUGGCCAUUGGGGCAACCCUGGCCGAGGCCAGCCGCGUGAGGUGAGGAGGGUCUCGGGUCGUUAAGCCCUGUUGUGAGUGAAGGAAGGGUAGGAGGGUGGAACGUUCACACUGUGACGGUAGCUUAACAGAAAGCGACGGCUAACUACGUG
rnacentral:rRNA from 1 species